UACGUAGGGGGCAGGCGUUGUCCGGAUUUAUUGGGCGUAAAGAGCGUGUAGGCGGCCAGACAGGUCCGUUGUGAAAACUCGAGGCUCAACCUCGAGAUGUCGAUGGAAACCGUCUGGCUAGAGUCCGGAAGAGGAGUGUGGAAUUCCUGGUGUAGCGGUGAAAUGCGCAGAUAUCAGGAGGAACACCAAUGGCGAAGGCAGCUCGCUGGGACGGUACUGACGCUGAGACGCGAAAGCGUGGGGAGCAAACAGG
rnacentral:rRNA from 1 species